GAGUACGAUCGCAAGAUUAAACUCAAAGGAAUUGACGGGGCCCCGCACAAGCAGCGGAGCAUGCGGCUUAAUUCGACGCAACGCGAAGAACCUUACCAAGGCUUGACAUAUACAGGAAUAUGGCAGAGAUGUCAUAGCCGCAAGGUCUGUAUACAGGUGGUGCAUGGUUGUCGUCAGCUCGUGUCGUGAGAUGUUGGGUUAAGUCCCGCAACGAGCGCAACCCUCGUUCUGUGUUGCCAGCAUUUAGUUGGGGACUCACAGGAGACUGCCGGGGUUAACUCGGAGGAAGGUGGGGAUGACGUCAAAUCAUCAUGCCCCUUAUGUCUUGGGCUGCACGCAUGCUACAAUGGCUGGUACAAACGGCUGCGAUACCGCAAGGUGGAGCGAAUCCGAGAAAGCCAGUCUCAGUUCGGAUUGGGGUCUGCAACUCGACCCCAUGAAGUCGGAGUUGCUAGUAAUCGUAGAUCAGCAACGCUACGGUGAAUACGUUCCCGGGGCUUGUACACACCGCCCGUCACAUCACGAAAGUCGGUAACACCCAAAGUCAGUGGCCCAACCGCAAGGAGGGAGCUGCCAAAGGUGGGAUCGGUGAUUGGGAUG
rnacentral:rRNA from 1 species